AGCGAACGCUGGCGGCGUGCCUAACACAUGCAAGUCGCGCGAGAAAGGGGGGCGUUGCUCCCCGACGUAAAGCGGCAGACGGGUGAGUACUACGUGGGCAACCUGCCCCCGACGUGGGGAAGUAACCCAGGGAAACGUUGGGCUAAUACCGCAUGACAUCCCGGGAUCUUCGGCUUCCGGGAGCGAAGCUGGCCUCUACAUGUAAGCUGGCGCUUGGGGAGGGGCUCACGCCCGAUUAGCAGUUGGUGAGGUAACGGCUCACCAAGGCGACGAUCGGUAGCCGGCCUGAGAGGGUGUCCGGCCACACUGGAACUGAGACACGGUCCAGACUCCUACGGGAGGCAGCAGUGAGGAAUAUUGGGCAAUGGGCGAAAGCCUGACCCAGCGACGCCGCGUGGACGAUGAAGG
rnacentral:rRNA from 1 species